rnacentral:rRNA from 1 species
UACGUAGGGCGCAAGCGUUGUCCGGAAUUAUUGGGCGUAAAGAGCUCGUAGGCGGCCUGUUGCGUCCGCUGUGAAAUCCCGGGGCUUAACCCCGGGCUUGCAGUGGAUACGGGCAGGCUGGAGGCAGGCAGGGGAGAACGGAAUUCCCGGUGUAGCGGUGAAAUGCGCAGAUAUCGGGAGGAACACCGGUGGCGAAGGCGGUUCUCUGGGCCUGUACUGACGCUGAGGAGCGAAAGCGUGGGGAGCGAACAGG